UAGGCAGUCACCCCCCACCACUCUCCUUAUUCUUCAUCUCUAUUAUUUCUCUCUUCUCUCUCGGAACAAGAAAGAGAAAUUAUUUUGUUCUGUGAACCUUCUUCAUCUCUCUAUUACUCCUUAUUUACCAAAACUAAUCGACCUGCCUUAUCGCUUUAUUCUGCUGCUACAAUCUAAAUCUGUUUGAAACAAAAAAACUUCUUCCCAGGAAACCCAAAACCCUUUUUCUUCAUAAUCAGAAAACCCGUUAUCUCCGUCAAAAAAAAAACGUUCUUUUUUAUCAUCACAAUCAGAAAACCCUAACUCUCCAUCGAAGAUCAAAAGGUAUGAACCUAAUUUUUCCAGUUUCAUACUUGUCAGACUAUUAUUCCUUAGUAACAGAAAUCAUUUGUGAAGAGUAAUAGAAAUCAGUGGAGAUGUUUCGGUUGGAUGUUAUUCUUCAAUUAAGAAUUGUUGAUUUGGGUUUGAUGUUGAAGUUGUUUCUUACAAGGGCAUCAGCUCUGGCUCAUAGAAGAGUUAAGGAAAGUCAUCUUAGUUCUGAUGCCAUCUUCAGACAGAGUCAUGCUGGUUUGUUCAAUCUCUGUAUUGGUGUACUGGUCGCAGUCAAAAUAAGUCUUAUUACUGAAAAUUUAAUGAAGCUUUACAUCACUAAGAGACUGACCACUUUUCAUGUGUUGCCUGCCUUUGUUUGCAGUUGCUUCUUAUAUGGUUGAAAAGAUAGCUCAAAAUAAGCUCGUUUUGGAACCAGAUUGAUUCAACUGCUGUAUCCGGUGUAACACUAAUGAUUUUUGCUAGUGUUGUGUGGUUUAAGUUGGUGUCAUAUGCACAUACAAAUUACGAUAUGAGGGCGCUUUCCAAGUCCAGCGACUAGGUGGCCCCUUACAGUAUUUUCUAUUCGCUGAUGGAAGAGCACCUGAGCCAAGUUGGUGUCGAUACAACUAACAACAAAUGGAACGAAACGCUUGUUUUGGGUGUGGUGGAUCCAAACGAUUCAUUAUCUCAUCCGGCAGGGGUCUUUGAUGUUCAAGUUAAUUCUGCUACGUGCUUAGCUUCUGAUCAUUUUGCCAACUUCUUGGUGAAAACAUGGGAAAAGCUUCUGAAUGCCUUUUGCACUGAAAGAUGGAACUUGAAUUAAUCUACAAAGUCUAAUCCAAUGUUAUGAGGACACCUAGCUGAUGAAGUUAUUCCCUGAAAUUGUUCGAAACAUCUGUGACCAGGACGUGCUUGCAGAAGAUAAGAUUCUUCAAUGAUUCCGCUAAGGAUUAAACCUCAAGGGAAGUGUUGCAGAGGGAAAAGACCUUGUGUUGUCGGUUACAUCUGUCAUGGGAAAGGAGCAGAUCUGUACUGUUAAGGACAUUUCUAUCCAAAUAGAAAAUGACCUUUAGACUUUAUUACUACAGUAUCUGUUUGUUACUUCAUAUGGGAGAAGAGGUGAACUAUAACUUGUAGUCCCCAAGCAAUAGAUGUGCUGAGGAAAACUAAUGUUCUUAUUACUCCAACAAAAGCUACUAGCACUGGAGGGGUAUGAAUAACUAUCCCAUGAGAUAUUGUCAUCUUCAGUUGGUGAAGAAUUUGUUACUAAGUUUGAGAAUUUACUAUGAUUAUUUGGUACUUGUCUACUAGGUUCAUAGAUCCAGCAUUCCUCGCUUACAUUUUCUUGUUAGAUACCCUUGGCCGGCAUCUCAUACUUUGAUCUAACAUCAUAAGGUGUUGUAUCUUUAUAAUACCUAUCUAUUUAUAAGUAGAGCUUGAUGAUAUUGAUGCAUCGCCUUUCUUGUGUUUCUGUUAUUUUUUUGUCGGUCUGUGAAGGCGAAAGUUUUCAAUUAGGUUCAAAGGUUUUGUAGCUGAUGGCGGUAUAUUACUACCUUCGGGACAAGCAGAGGGAGAUAAGUCUUGUUGGAAUCCUGCGCCGUGCUCAGGGCUGUGUUGUACUUGACAAAGAUGGGUUCACAGCAAAGAAACAAACACAUUUCUUUGAUAUUGUGAGGCGGCUCCAACGAAGAAGUUGAUUCAGCAGCUCAUUGUAAACUAGGGUAUUCAGACUUGCACUUGUCUUUAAGAAUUGUCUUUAAGAAACAUGUGAACCUAUCAGCUAAGACUUGUAUUGGUGCAAAUUCAGGAUUUUUUUUGUUUUUUUUUUCUGAUUUUGAAGCCAAGUGCAGGUUUCAUUUCAUUGAAAUUUUGCAAUUUGAACAUGUAUGAAUUGUACAAUGAAUACUGGUUCCUAAAUAAUUGUCAUUUAAAUUUAUGAA